AUUGAACGCUGGCGGCAGGCCUAACACAUGCAAGUCGAGCGAGCGGCGGACGGGUGAGUAAUGUAUGGGGACUGCCCGAUAGAGGGGGAUAACUACUGGAAACGGUAGCUAAUACCGCAUACUAUCGGAUAACCCAUAUGGGAUUAGCUAGUAGGUGAGGUAAUGGCUCACCUAGGCGACGAUCCCUAGCUGGUCUGAGAGGAUGAUCAGGCAAACUGGGAACGGGAAACGGGCCAGAUCCCUAGGGAGGGAGGCGGGGGGAAUAUUGCCAAAGGGGCGCAAGCCUGAUGCAGCCAUGCCGCGUGUAUGAAGAAGGCCCUAGGGUUGUAAAGUACUUUCAGUCGGGAGGCGUUACCGACAGAAGAAGCACCGACUAACUCCGUGCCAGCAGCCGCGGUAAUAC
rnacentral:rRNA from 1 species